rnacentral:rRNA from 1 species
GACGAACGCUGGCGGCGUGCUUAACACAUGCAAGUCGAACGGAAAGGCCCUGCUUUUGUGGGGUGCUCGAGUGGCAAACGGGUGAGUAACACGUGAGUAACCUGCCCUUGACUUUGGGAUAACUUCGGGAAACUGGGGCUAAUACCGGAUAGGAGCUCCUGCUGCAUGGUGGGGGUUGGAAAGUUUCGGCGGUUGGGGAUGGACUCGCGGCUUAUCAGCUUGUUGGUGGGGUAGUGGCUUACCAAGGCUUUGACGGGUAGCCGGCCUGAGAGGGUGACCGGCCACAUUGGGACUGAGAUACGGCCCAGACUCCUACGGGAGGCAGCAGUGGGGAAUAUUGCACAAUGGGCGGAAGCCUGAUGCAGCAACGCCGCGUGCGGGAUGACGGCCUUCGGGUUGUAAACCGCUUUCGCCUGUGACGAAGCGUGAGUGACGGUAAUGGGUAAAGAAGCACCGGCUAACUACGUG